rnacentral:rRNA from 1 species
AGAGUUUGAUCAUGGCUCAGAAUGAACGCUGGCGGCGUGCUUAACACAUGCAAGUCGAGCGAGGCCAGGGGGGCAACUCCCUGAGUCGAGCGGCGGACGGGUGAGUAACACGUGGGUAACCUGCCCGGAAGUGGGGAAUACCUCGGGGAAACUCGAGCUAAUACCGCAUGACAUCUUCGGAACGAGAGUUCUGACGAUCAAAGCGGGGUCGCAAGAUCUCGCGCUACCGGAUGGGCCCGCGCCCGAUUAGCUAGUUGGUGAGGUAACGGCUCACCAAGGCAUCGAUCGGUAACCGGCCUGAGAGGGCGAUCGGUCACACCGGAACUGAGACACGGUCCGGACUCCUACGGGAGGCAGCAGUGGGGAAUCUUGCGCAAUGGGCGAAAGCCUGACGCAGCAACGCCGCGUGGAGGAUGAAGGCCCUUGGGUUGUAAACUCCUGUCGGCUGGGAAGAAAUCGUUCGGGGUUAAUACCCCCGGACGUUGACUGUACCAGCAAAGGAAGCCCCGGCUAACUCUGUGCCAGCAGCCGCGGUAAUACAGAGGGGGCCAGCGUUAUUCGGAAUUAUUGGGCGUAAAGGGCGCGUAGGCGGCCAUGCGUGUCUUCCGUGAAAUCCCUCGGCUUAACUGAGGACGUGCGGAAGAAACUGCAAGGCUCGAGUCCGGGAGAGGGGGGUGGAAUUCCCAGUGUAGCGGUGAAGUGCGUAGAUAUUGGGAGGAACACCGGUGGCGAAGGCGGCCCCCUGGACCGGUACUGACGCUGAGGCGCGAAAGCGUGGGGAGCAAACGGGAUUAGAUACCCCAGUAGUCC